UUGUUUAAUCUCUCAUCUCUCUGUUGUUUGUAGCCACCGCGACCAGUAGAGGACAACGGGGCCAACCGUAUAGCCUUACGCCACCAAACCACCUGCUGCAUGCAGCACCACCACCUGGCCCCAUCGUCACUGUCGUACCGAUUAGUAGACGUAUUUGAUAGCCCCUGUCAGACUGCCAGUUCUCUCUGCACGAUCCCACGGAGCACCAUUUCCUUAGACCUUACUCCUUUAUCUGUAUGCUGAUAUGUCUUUUUUCUUUAUAAAAAUUUUAUAUUGGUAUUAAUCAUAUUAUAUAUAUAUAUAUAUUACAUAUAUUAAUUGUGUAUGGUUGUAUAUACUGAUUUAAGUUGUUGUUUUUAUAGCAUUAUGUGUAUUAAUAAAUUGUUUGAUUUUCAAUUUUAGAUUGUUUGAUUUUAA